AACGAACGCUGGCGGCAUGCUUUACACAUGCAAGUCGAACGGUAACAGGCCGCAAGGUGCUGACGAGUGGCGAACGGGUGAGUAAUGCAUCGGAACGUGCCCAGUCGUGGGGGAUAACGCAGCGAAAGCUGCGCUAAUACCGCAUACGAUCUAUGGAUGAAAGCGGGGGACCGUAAGGCCUCGCGCGAUUGGAGCGGCCGAUGUCAGAUUAGGUAGUUGGUGGGGUAAAGGCUCACCAAGCCAACGAUCUGUAGCUGGUCUGAGAGGACGACCAGCCACACGGGGACUGAGACACGGCCCAGACUCCUGCGGGAGGCAGCAGUGGGGAAUUUUGGACAAUGGGCGCAAGCCUGAUCCAGCAAUGCCGCGUGCAGGAAGAAGGCCUUCGGGUUGUAAACUGCUUUUGUACGGAACGAAACGGCUCUGGUUAAUACCUGGGGCUAAUGACGGUACCGUAAGAAUAAGCACCGGCUAACUACGUGCCAGCCGCCGCCGUAACAC
rnacentral:rRNA from 1 species